AUUGAACGCUGGCGGCAGGCCUAACACAUGCAAGUCGGGCGAGUGGCGGACGGGUGAGUAAUGUAUGGGGAACUGCCUGAUGGAGGGGGAUAACUACUGGAAACGGUAGCUAAUACCGCAUACCAUCAGAUGAUCCCAUAUGGGAUUAGCUUGUAGGUAGGGUAACGGCUAACCAAGGCGACGAUCCCUAGCUGGUCUGAGAGGAUGACUAGCCAAACGGUAACUGAGACACGGCCCAGAUGCCUACGGGAGUCAGCAGUGGGGAAUAUUGCACAAUGGGCGCAAGCCUGAUGCAGCCAUGCCGCGUGUAUGAAGAAGGCCUUCGGGUUGUAAAGUACUUUCAGUGGGGAGGCGUUACCGGCAGAAGAAGCACCGGCUAACUCCGUGCCAGCAGCCGCGGUAAUUC
rnacentral:rRNA from 1 species